GACGAACGCUGGCGGCGUGCUUAACACAUGCAAGUCGAACGGAAAGGCCCUGCUUUUGUGGGGUGCUCGAGUGGCGAACGGGUGAGUAACACGUGAGUAACCUGCCCUUGACUUUGGGAUAACUUCAGGAAACUGGGGCUAAUACCGGAUAGGAGCUCCUGCUGCAUGGUGGGGGUUGGAAAGUUUCGGCGGUUGGGGAUGGACUCGCGGCUUAUCAGCUUGUUGGUGGGGUAGUGGCUUACCAAGGCUUUGACGGGUAGCCGGCCUGAGAGGGUGACCGGCCACAUUGGGACUGAGAUACUGCCCAGUCUCCUACGUGGGGCAGCAGUGGGGAAUAUUGCACAAUGGGCGGAGGCCUGAUGCAGCAACGCCGCGUGCGGGAUGACGGCCUUCGGGUUGUAAACCGCUUUCGCCUGUGACGAAGCGUGAGUGACGGUAAUGGGUAAAGAGGCACCGGCUAACUACGUG
rnacentral:rRNA from 1 species